UGAACUGGAAACACUGGUGGAAGCACACAGU
rnacentral:piRNA from 1 species